rnacentral:lncRNA from 1 species
GAAGAAUUCAGACCUGCAUCUUCUCUUGGGCCAGGCAAGUAACUGAUACCUUAUAGAGGAAGAGUGUUCUCUUACAGGAUGAGUGCUCUUUAGCCUUGGUUUUGUUGGAAGAAAUUACUGCAUAAGUUCAACAAGGAGCCAUAGUCCUGCUUACAACACAGAAAUCUAGCGCUGCCCGUGAUGCUCUGACAGUGGAUAUGAGAGUGGGAAUCACUGGAGCUGAAGUGUUCAAUGAGCCUAAGAAGAGACUAAUAUAAUUUGAAGUUCACAAAGACAGCCAUCAACAAACCAGCAGAAUUAUAGAUGAAGAACUGUUCUGUGUGGGACUGUCAUUUGUUCCAGACUCCUGCCUGCGGUGGUGAUGACACACAGGUGAUAGCUCUCUUCUGCCUUCCCUUGAGCCAAGCGAAACAUCUUCCCUCUCUACGCAGGAUGAGGAUGAAAACCUGCUGGAGUCACAGUGAAUUUGGAUGGGGAAAUUUGGAGGAAAGAGGUUGGAGAGGAAAGCCCAUGUGUAAGCAAUAG